AAUACUUUUUUACAAUCAUGAUGGGACAUAUAUUCUUAAAAGGAUUAAUUUGAUUGGUUUGUUACGCCACGUCAUUAAUAUACCCGUUGCAUUCUAGAAUUUUUCGUGCUUUAGAGCCAGAGAAACAAUGCUAUUUUCAGAAAUUUGAGCUCAUAUGCAUUGGAGGCUGCUAGAAUUUGUAAGGAGUUGGUGAAGCAAUGGAUAGAAUAGCAUAAUUUUAAGAGUGAAAUUGAUCAAAAAAAUAAAUUUAACAAUAAAAAAAUUUACAAGCAUCAAAUGCUUAGUGUUUUAAAAGCAUCUUAUCCUCACACUCUCUCCCUCUCUCUCUCUCUCUCUCUCUCUCUCUCUCUCUCUCUCUAUAUAUAUAUAUAUAUAUAUAUAUAUAUUCCUACACUGGAAGUAAUCCCCUGAUCUCAUACAUAAAAUGAAAGAAUUUUAUAAAUAUACUUCCCAGCUGUAUAUAGCUGAAUAAACUAUAUAUAGUUACAACACCUUUUACUAUAUAUAAUUGAACAAAAUACAUACAUUUAAUUAUAACUACUGUAUUUUUAGCUACAUUCAAUUCUAACCAUACUGUAUUCACAAUUACAAACUGACUGUCCCUAACGUAAGUGGUAAAAGACUUGCUGGUUGGUACCCGAGAUUCCAAGUUCGAAGUCUAAUUAUUUUACUUUUUCAACUAAAGUUAUUUUCUAAAAAGUUAAACGAAACAGAUAGUACGCUCCCUUUCUUUUUCAAAAAUAAUAAUUACAGGCAACCAAACAACCCUUCGCUGUAAAAAUAUAUGGACACCCUUCACUACAAAAAGUUAUGAACUCUUAUAUAUGGGGUUAUUGCGGUGAAUUGAGGAUGUUUGUUAAAAUUAUUAAUAAGGUAUUAAAUUUGACAAAACUAGUUGCCUAAUUUAAGGGUAAAUUGCAUUGUUACCCCCUGAACUUUUGAUAAAGUUUCACUUUACCCCUCGAACUCUUAAAAUGGACAUCUAACAUCCUAAACUUUAAUAUUUUGUUCAUGUUACCCCUUCCGUCAGCUUUCCGUCCUCCGUUAACCGAAAACUGACGGAAGGGGUAAAACGAAUAAAAUAUUAGAGUUUAGGGUAUUAGAUGUCUAUUUUACAAGUUUGGGAGGUUAAGUGAAACUCGCCAAAAGUUCAGGAGGUAACAAUACAAUUUACCCUAACUAUAAAUUAUUUUAUUAUAAUAUGUUAUUUAUGCAUUGACUACUAAACCUCGAGUUAGUAAUCAUGAUUGAUUUUGAAUUUAUAUAUAUUUUUUAUCCUAAAAUAAAUUAUACCAUAAUUUAUCAUACUUUAGAAGCAUUUUAUUUUAGGCUACAAUAAAAUUACAUUGCAUAAAUUCAUAGAAAAUAAGUGUAUUUUCAGAACAAUGCUUUUAAAAAUAAAAAGGACAAACGAGUAUUACAGAAAAUUAACUGAGGAUUAAAAUCUCUAUAUCCGAGUGAGGACACCUAUUGUAAAUCAACCAUAUUAGCGAGUACAUUAAGAUAAUAGAGUGUUCGAGCAUCGUAGGUAGUUAGUAUUGCACUUUUCUUAUCUUUAAGCCACUCUAAUUCGUUUCUUUCGCUUUUAUUUUAUUACAAUAAAAUGUAGGAUAAAUUAUGGUAUAAUUUAUUUUCGGAUAAAAAAUAUAUAUAUAUUCAAAAUCAAGCAUGAUCACUAACUUGAGGGUUAAUAGUCAAUCUAUAAGCAACAUAUUAUAAUAAAAUAAUUUAUAGUCAAGAGUCAUACGGGGUACAUUCAACUGCUACCUCCUAAACUUUUGGCGAGUUUUACUUAACUCUCCAAACUCCUACAAUAGAUAUCUAACACCCUAAACUCUAAUAUAUUAUUCGUUUUACCCCUUUCGUCAAUUUUCGGUUAACGAAGCUUGACAGAAAACUGACGGAAGGGGUAACAUGAACGAAAUAUUAGAGUUUAGGGUGUUAGAUGUCUAUUUUAAGAGUUCGAGAAAUAAAGUAAAACUUCGUCAAAAGUUCAGACGGUAAUAAUGCAAUUUACCCCCUAGUUUAACAAUAUCUUU
rnacentral:lncRNA from 1 species